rnacentral:rRNA from 1 species
GACGAACGCUGGCGGCGUGCUUAACACAUGCAAGUCGAACGGGCCUGUCUUCUUUUUUGGGGGUGGGUUGAGUGGCGAACGGGUGAGUAUCACGUGAGUAACCUGCCCUUCGGUCCUGGAUAACCGCUUGAAAGGGCGGCUAAUACGGGGUGGUCCGGUUGGUCCGCAUGGGCUGGUCGGGAUAGAUUCACUGUUUUUGGGGUUUCGGCGGGGGAUGGGCUCGCGGCCUAUCAGCUUGUUGGUGGGGUGAUGGCCUACCAAGGCGGUGACGGGUAGCCGGCGUGAGAGGGUGGGCGGCCACACUGGGACUGAGAUACGGCCCAGACUCCUGCGGGAGGCAGCAGUGGGGGGUAUUGCACAAUGGGCGGAAGCCUGAUGCAGCGACGUCGCGUGAGGGAUGGAGGCCUUCGGGUUGUGAACCUCUGUUUCCGGUGGUGAAGGCCCUGUCCGUGUGGUGGGGUUGACGGUAGCCGGGGAUGAAGCGCCGGCUAACUACGUG